AGUUUUUAAUCCUCGUUAUCGUUGGAUCAGUCGGCCAAGUAAAAUAUGCAAAUUACAAUUGCCUCUGCCGGAAAUGAUAGGUGGGGCAAAAUUAGCCGCCGGAAACGAUAAUAUCGCGAUUUUUAAUCUACCACUCUUUAAUCCCCCAACAAAUAUUCCAUUUCUCUCAUCCACGUUUCCACGGAAUAGAAGCAACGAACGAGAUUACUAAUUCACGCACCCCGACCUAUAAUUAUAUCAAGGUUUUAAGAUAUCUUAAACGAAUCGAACUUUUUAAUGAAGAGAGCAAACAAACAUGUGAACAUAUUCGUAAAUGUAAUACAUUCCCUACGUUUUGCGAAUAAAUUAUGGUAGAUGUAACCGUUAUACGAGUGAAAUAUUAAUAGAAUGAUUAAUUUAAUUGAGAUAAGCUCUUGUUAUUUAUCUUGUACGAAUAAAUUACAACGGAUAUAUGAAUGAAAUUUUAGCAAUGAUUGAUUAAAUCAUGAAAUCCGAACUUUGAGACGAGUUAUUAUUUGAACAAUCGUCGAUUAUCAUGACAAUUAUUCUUUAUGAAGUUACUUACGAACGUCUUUUAAUUU